rnacentral:sRNA from 1 species
GAGGCGAGGUGUUGGCAGGGCCACCAUGUUCCGUCUGAAGGCUCCAGCACAUAGAUAGUCUUUCCUGGCCCGUUGCCAGCUUCUGGAGGUCACCUGUAUUGCUUGACUCAUGGCUUCUCAGUCUUCAAAGACAGCAGUGGCGUUUUCUCCGCUGUGGCCUGUAUCCCUCCUGGAUGGUGACUCUGUUCCCUUCCUUGGGGAAGCUUGUGGAGGGUACGGCUCAGGACUGCUUGGGCUCUGGGACCCUGACAUUUUCUGUCCCUGGCCCAUGGAGGCCUCAGGCAAUGUGUGGCCCAUGGGUCAGUGAAUAAAUCAUGAAUGGCUGAGGAAGUACGUGCCUCUCCACCUGGCAGAUCCUGCCCAUUAAAGAGCUGUCACAAGUCCUUUGUGUCCCCAGCCCCAGCUGUCACAGCUUUGAUCACCCUGGAUUGUGAUUGUUUGGCUCCCUCUCCAUCACUGGACUGGGAACCCUACAGGACAGGCAUCCCCAGAGUUGCCCAGUGCAGCACCUCAUCCACACACAGGAGCCACGUGCAGGAUAAAGCAUAGAAAAGUCAGGAGAGCCAGGAGGUUCUCACUGAGUGUCUGGAUGGUCCUCCAUGUCCUGGUUGGGUGACAAUGCUUUUCUCUCCCUGCAGACCCCCCAAGACCCAACCUGACCUCCCACCCAGAUGGCGGUGAAGAUCUGGAGCCUCUGGCAGGAGGAAGCCCAGAAGCAACAGGCCCUGGUGAGUGGAUGGAGAGGGGCCCCUUGUGUACCUUCUGUCUUCCAGACCUCCAUCCUGAGGCUGCAGCCAGCUUUCCCACAGGUCUACCGAGACAUUACAAUGCUCAGCUUCAGGACUUCACUCUGCUUCUCGCUGGCUUCCAUCCCCUUGUCCUGGGAGCUGGGGGGAUCAGGACAUUUUUAUAGACCCUCACUCUGGUGUCUCUCUACCUUGCCCUUCAGCACAGGGUUAUCCUGGUGCCUCUCCACAGCUCCUCCUCUUCCCUUCCAGACUCUACAAGGGUACGCCCUCCACUCUCUCAGUUGGUCUUUCUACUUUCCUGCCUUGUGCUCCCUGAGUGUGUUGACCCUCAUUCUACUUCUUUUACCUCCUUCCCUUCAGGCCCAUUUUUCCUUCCUAUCCCUGGGGCAUAGCAGAUGGCCACAUCAGGGAGUAACUUAAGCCCAGGCCUGAAUGCUGCCAAGAGCAUCUGCCCUGCCAUCUCCCAAACCGGGGUUCCUCCAGGUGGAUCAGGUUAGGUGGUGAGGAUUCCUGGGGUAUUACCCAUGGUAGAGACGUCCCCAGCAUGAGAAGCAGGGCCCUGAACCAGAGACCACAGGAGUCUUAGGCUGUACCCCAUCCAGUCAGUCUGCAGCUCCCUUCUUGGCUCACCACGCUCAGGCUCGUGUACAUGAGGCCUCUGCAGCCUCCUCUUCAGCACAUCAGUGUUCCUCAUAGUUGACUAACUCAUGCACAGGCUCUCACAACUUCUGCUUUCUGUUUCUGUCACCUCAGCAUAUUGGCUGUUUCCAAGCAUAGGUAGCCAUGCCUUUACUAACAAAUAUACCUCCAUAUCCUCUAGUAGUGACACUUGAGUUGCAUAGUUACCACAUAAGCGUCUUUCCCCUUUAACGGCAUGCCGCUCUUGGAAGCAGGGCUUAGCUGAUUCACCCUGUAUUCCCAGCUCCUGACAUCAUGCUUGGCAC